rnacentral:misc_RNA from 1 species
AAGUCGUAACAAGGUUUCCGUAGGUGAACCUGCGGAAGGAUCAUUAUUGAAUAUUCUCGAUGGGUUGUAGCUGGCUCCUCGGAGCAUGUGCACGCCUGUCUUGACUCUAUUCAUCCACCUGUGCACCUAUUGUAGUCUCAUUCGAGGGUAGUCGGUCGGCAAGACCGGAUUGUGAGGGAUGCAGCGCGAAAGUGCGGCACCUCUCUGGCUCUCGGUGGACUAUGUCUUUAUUCAUAAACCAUGUAGUAUGUUGCAGAAUGUAUUCAAUGGGCCUUUGUGCCUAUAAAAACCUUAUACAACUUUCAGCAACGGAUCUCUUGGCUCUC